UGGGGAUAUAGCUCAGUUGGUAGAGCGCUGCCCUUGCAAGGCAGAUGUCAGCGGUUCAAAUCCGCUUAUCUCCACCA
rnacentral:tRNA from 1 species